AGGAGCGGCAGACGGGUGAGUAACGCGUGGGAAUCUACCCAUCUCUACGGAACAACUCCGGGAAACUGGAGCUAAUACCGUAUACGUCCUUCGGGAGAAAGAUUUAUCGGAGAUGGAUGAGCCCGCGUUGGAUUAGCUAGUUGGUGGGGUAAUGGCCUACCAAGGCGACGAUCCAUAGCUGGUCUGAGAGGAUGAUCAGCCACAUUGGGACUGAGACACGGCCCAAACUCCUACGGGAGGCAGCAGUGGGGAAUAUUGGACAAUGGGCGAAAGCCUGAUCCAGCCAUGCCGCGUGAGUGAUGAAGGCCCUAGGGUUGUAAAGCUCUUUCAACGGUGAAGAUAAUGACGGUAACCGUAGAAGAAGCCCCGGCUAACUUCGUGCCAGCAGCCGCGGUAAUACGAAGGGGGCUAGCGUUGUUCGGAAUUACUGGGCGUAAAGCGCACGUAGGCGGAUUGUUAAGUUAGGGGUGAAAUCCCAGGGCUCAACCCUGGAACUGCCUUUAAUACUGGCAAUCUCGAGUCCGAGAGAGGUGAGUGGAAUUCCGAGUGUAGAGGUGAAAUUCGUAGAUAUUCGGAGGAACACCAGUGGCGAAGGCGGCUCACUGGCUCGGUACUGACGC
rnacentral:rRNA from 1 species